rnacentral:lncRNA from 1 species
UUGGAUGAUUUGUUAUGCUAUUUUUGUUCAGAAACAUAUUUGUAUGUGAUUAACUAAAAUCCAAUAAGGAACGCAAGGUGGAAGCUUUGGGCAAACAAGGUAAGUGUUUUAUAAUUUAUUCUACAAUUCUAUAUAUAAGAUUGUGCAUUACAAGAAUCCUUUACAGAUAUACUAAAGAGAAAAAUGCUCGGAUAGUUCCUGUGGUUUCGCCUUUUUUCACCUUUAGUCCCUAACUUUCUAAAAUUACCUCAAUAGUCCCCAACUU